rnacentral:rRNA from 1 species
GACGAACGCUGGCGGCGUGCCUAAUACAUGCAAGUAGGACGCACGGUUUAUACCGUAGCUUGCUACACCAUAGACUGUGAGUUGCGAACGGGUGAGUAACGCGUAGGUAACCUGCCUAUUAGAGGGGGAUAACUAUUGGAAACGAUAGCUAAUACCGCAUAACAGUAUGUAACACAUGUUAGAUGCUUGAAAGAUGCAAUUGCAUCGCUAGUAGAUGGACCUGCGUUGUAUUAGCUAGUAGGUAGGGUAAUGGCCUACCUAGGCGACGAUACAUAGCCGACCUGAGAGGGUGAUCGGCCACACUGGGACUGAGACACGGCCCAGACUCCUACGGGAGGCAGCAGUAGGGAAUCUUCGGCAAUGGGGGGAACCCUGACCGAGCAACGCCGCGUGAGUGAAGAAGGUUUUCGGAU